rnacentral:rRNA from 1 species
UACGUAGGGAGCAAGCGUUGUCCGGAAUGAUUGGGCGUAAAGGGCGCGUAGGCGGCCGGAUAAGUCUGGAGUGAAAGUCCUGUUUUUAAGAUGGGAAUUGCUUUGGAUACUGUCUGGCUUGAGUGCAGGAGAGGUAAGUGGAAUUCCCAGUGUAGCGGUGAAAUGCGUAGAGAUUGGGAGGAACACCAGUGGCGAAGGCUACUUACUGGACUGUAACUGACGCUGAGGCGCGAAAGUGUGGGGGGCAAAU